AUUGAACGCUGGCGGCAGGCCUAACACAUGCAAGUCGAACGAGUGGCGGACGGGUGAGUAAUGUCUGGGAAACUGCCUGAUGGAGGGGGAUAACUACUGGAAACGGUAGCUAAUACCGCAUACCAUCGGAUGUGCCCAGAUGGGAUUAGCUAGUAGGUGGGGUAACGGCUCACCUAGGCGACGAUCCCUAGCUGGUCUGAGAGGAUGAUCAGGCAAACUGGAACUGGGACCAGGUCCAGAAUCCUACGGGAGGGAGCAGGGGGGAAUAUUGGACAAUGGGCGAAAGCCUGAUGCAGCCAUGCCGCGUGUGUGAAGAAGGUCUUCGGAUUGUAAAGCACUUUAAGUGGGGAGGCGUUACCAACAGAAUAAGCACCGGCUAACUUCGUGCCAGCAGCCGCGGUAAUUC
rnacentral:rRNA from 1 species